AUCCAAGCCGGGAGGAGAGCCCCCACGCCAGUACGCCACUCGCUUCGCUUCUCGCAUCCUCCACCUCGGCGUCUACACUCCCCGGCGCGGGCAGGGGCAGGGCAUCCAUCCGGUACGCCGUCGCGUCCGGGGCACGCCGCGGCGGAGGCAGGCGGGGCCCCUUUCUCGAUCUCUGCAUCGGGUGUUCUCGAGCCGAGCCGAGGCUGCGGCGGCUUCUAGGAUCAGGAGAUCUGCAGAAGUAUAAGAUACUGCCGAACGAUUCUCGUGGUGUCUAUUGUGGCCUAAUUGCAUGGAGGAAUAUUCAGACAGGAGAUCCAGAACAGAAAUUGCAUUUCACAGGAGGGGUUCAAGAUUCUCGUAUAGAAAUGGAAGUCCUGAAGAGAUGACUAACCACAACAGUGAUGGACUGGGAAGCAGCAUUAGACUCAAUCCUAGUUUGCUAGCGGGAGUUACUGAUAAUCAAGAAAGACCAAGAUAUCUGCAUGAUUCAUUUAAAUCUUCAAGCUCAAAUGUGGGGCCUACAAGUUCCUCCAAAUUUCCACCUAGAAAGUUUGAGGAAAAGCGAAGGCAGCCUUUGUUGACAGGGGUUGACAUUGGUGAAAGUGGUAGAAGAAAGGUUGAACCCUCCAAGCAGCUGGAGGGUAGUAAGAAAAUCAUUGUAGAUGAUGAGAGUUCAGACACUCUGCUGAUUGAAUCAAAAGGUUUUACUACUGAACAAGAUCGUUUGUUAACACCUGGUCAAGAAGGCUCUUAUUUUGCUGGUCCUUCAGGUGUUUCUGCAAAUAGAGCUGAGUCAUUGGUCCGAACUGCUUCACUAAGUUCUAGGACACAUAGACAGAAAGAGAAAGAGGUGAAUUUGGGUACUCCAGGAGCAUGUUCUUCAUCUUUGACUAAUCGGUUUACUAUGCCUAGAAAUUCCACCACUGGUGUAAGGCCAGCUUAUGGUCAUGUUAGUGGAGUACAGAGACGUGGUCUUAAAAACCUUGGUUGUAAUCCAGUACCUGAUGUUCAAACUUCAGGUUGUUCAUCUGAUUCUGUUUAUAGUAGGAGGUUUGAGUUCAUGAGAAAGAAGGCUUCUGAUCUGGAAAGCUCUUCCAGAUCAAGAAGCUUUAGUGGACCAUCUAAUUCAGAUCACUCAUUUCCUACAUAUAUUUGUGAUGCUGGUCCCAGAAUCAGACUGAAUGGAUCAUUACUUUCUCAACAUCCGGAAAGCUCUUCCAGAUCAAGGAGCUUUAGUGGACCAUCUAAUUCAGAUCACUCAUCUCCUACAUAUAUUCGUGAUACUGGUCCCAUCAGACUGAAUGAAACAUUACUUUCUCAACAUCCGGAAAGCUCUUCCAGAUCAAGAAGGUUUAGUGGACCAUCUAAUUCAGAUCACUCAUCUCCUACAUAUAUUCGUGAUACUGGUCCCAGAAUCAGACUGAAUGAAACAUUACUUUCUCAACAUCCGGAAAGCUCUUCCAGAUCAAGGAGCUUUAGUGGACCAUCUAAUUCAGAUCACUCAUCUCCUACAUAUAUUCGUGAUACUGGUCCCAGAAUCAGACUGAAUGAAACAUUACUUUCUCAACAAAUAGUACGAAGCAGCAGCAGAAACCAACAGGAAUCGGCAGUUUCAGUUAGGACAAGACGACCUUCUCACGCUACUACGCUGAGGGCUACUGAUGAACGAGCAGAUGGCAUGCUUUCUUUGCAUGAGUCAUCCACAAGGAAUGGGCAGUCAGCUCAGGAACAUCUUUCAUUGGAAGAAGUCUCCGCUGGGAGUUCAGUAAGACCAUUCUUUGCAGAAUUACCUCAUGAUAUUUACUCAUUUAGUCGUCAUCAAAGCUCGAAUACUCGAGCUGAAAGGGGAAGACGAAACUCCCAUUUUGAAGAAAGUCCUCCACAAAUGUUCCAUGGACUCAUGGGGGAGAGAGAUGGUCAUAGACACAUAACCAUGGGAGAAAUUGCAGAGGUUUUACUAGCAUUACAAAGGAAUUGACUAAUCUAUUCCUUGGUGCCUUUGCAUCCCAUGAUAGGCAUAGAGACAUGCGGAUGGAUAUCGACAGUAUGUCAUAUGAGGAAUUAUUGGCACUACUAGAAGAGAGAAUAGGUUAUGUGAGCACAGCCCUUUCUGAUGAGCAGUUUGCGAAAUGCCUCAGAAGAAGCAUAUAUUGUCCAGUUGCUACAGGAGUAAAUAAAUCAGUCAUAGAUGACAUAAAAUGCAGCAUAUGCCAGGAAGAGUACAAGGAGGGCGAAGAAAUUGGGCAGCUACCAUGUGAACACGGGUACCAUGUAUGCUGCAUUGGCCAGUGGCUUAGGCUGAAGAACUGGUGUCCAGUAUGUAAAGCGUCAGCAGUGCCUUCGAUGGACUAAUCCAAGGAUGUUCAAGCUAGUAUGUAUCUGGAGCCCAUGACUGUACAUAUGAACCUGUGAAUAACAUGGGCUAGGUUCACUAGUUUCUGAACAUCAGAUACUUGGAUUCCGUAUGGCCCCCUGGAACUCUGGAAGGCUAGUGUCAUUGGAAUGGUUUGAAUCACUGGUCGAUGAUUAAAUUGCAUUAAGUUCAAUCACGAGAGCAGCCCUUUCUUGUUGCAAGAUGAUGACCAUUCCAUUCCUGGAACCAGAAACACCUCGAAUCUUUUAAUAAAUGUUACGUCAAGCCUUCUCGCUUUA